AUGGCGAGGACUCGAUCUGGGGGCGUUGGCUUCGCCCAACAGCUGCAGCAUCAGAGGCUGGAGGGAAUCGCGGCGGCAGCAGAAGGAAGCGGCGGCCGGCGACUUGCCCAAAUCCCGCACUGGCGGCCGCGGGCGCGAGGAAGCGGGCAGAGGAUGAGGGCGCGGGCCGCACCGGCUAGGGACGCGAGCAGGGCGACGAGGGAGGUGCCUUCAACCGUGGAGGAGGCGGGCGUCCAGUUGGUCGCCGCGGAGGAGCAGUCACCUCCGUGUGGGCGGCGGCGCAGCUCGCCUUCAUGCAGGCGGCGUAGGCGGGCAGGGGCGCCACGGAUUGGCAGCGGCGGCGCAGCGGCGACGCAGGUGGACGGCAGCGCGCUGGGCUCUACGGUGGCUGCCGACGGCGCGCUGGGCUUGUUCCUGCCGCGGGCGUCUGGAGGAGGAAGAAGCAAAGGGGUAAUUAGCAGGAGAUUUAAAAUCUUAAGGGUUUAUUUGCAAAAAUCAUAA
rnacentral:rRNA from 1 species